rnacentral:rRNA from 1 species
UACGUAGGGGGCAAGCGUUGUCCGGAUUUAUUGGGCGUAAAGAGCGCGUAGGCGGUUGGGCAAGUCACGUGUGAAAUCUCCACGCUCAACGUGGAGGCGCCACGUGAGACUGCCCUGACUCGAGUCCGGUAGGGGAGCGUGGAAUUCCCGGUGUAGCGGUGAAAUGCGCAGAGAUCGGGAGGAACACCCGUAGCGAAGGCGGCGCUCUGGGCCGGUACUGACGCUGAGGAGCGAAAGCGUGGGGAGCGAACAGG